UGACAACACCCAGCCACCUACAGCACCAUUUUCUCCCUCGAGGAUAGCACCCAGCACCCACAGCACCAUCUCCUCCACGCCGAGUUUAUGGAGCCUCCGAACCAGGUUGGGGAGAUUAUUAGCAGAUUUGAGAAGAAGGGAUUUUACUUGAAAAGGUAACUUCUUUUGUUUUUGUUACUACUUAACACACGUGCUAACAAUUUAGCUUAGAAACUCCACAAAUUUUUAGCCUUAUGCCGAAAGGCACUAUGCUGACUUAUCUACAAAGCCUUUCUUUAAUGGAUUGGUCUAAUACAUUAUCUCUGGUUCUAUUGUUGCCAUGGUUUAGGAGGGUAAAAGUGUUGUUGCAACUAACCAAAAGUUGAUUGGAACAACAAACCCCUUGGCAUCUGAGCGUGAGCGUGAGCGUGAGCGUGGAACUAUCCAUGGUGACUUCGCCAUUGCAUUGGAAGGUUGGUUUGCUUAAAGAAGUUUCAUUGUUUUGUUGGAGAGGAUACCAAAACGUGACUAUCUAUUGCUGGAAAUUUGUUUUUAUUUUUUGUUGUGUUGACUAUUGAACCCUUAAACUUCUUUAAUUGUCGUAUUAUAAUUUCUUUUGUCGUUAAAUUUUAUUGGAUCAAGACUUUUGUUAGUUAUGGUGUACUUGUAUACUAUAAUUUCAAUGUUAUCAUUUUGAAAUAGUAUGACAUAUUUUUGUUUGA